UGAAUAUUAGAUAUUUCAAGGAAGAAUUCUGAAUACAACAUGAUACUGCAAUUGUUUGUGAAGAAACACUAAGCAUCAUGUGUCCAUCUUGAGCCCAUCUGAGAACUGGCCCCGCUUGUAGCCUUGUCUGUAGCAAGUGAGAGUGUCCUGUGAAUGAGAUCUACCACUACCAUCCCCAGGCAUUCUGCAGGAAAAUCUAAGAAAUCAACAGUACCUGAUUUGCAGCUCUGUGUGGAAUGACACCAUCAGUUGCCUUUGCGAUAUCCUCUUCCACUGCAAUGGAAAAAGAGACAUCAUUUUAAAGAGACUGUAGUAGGGAAGACAGGGGCUAGGCCAUCCCUAAGAGAAGCAGGGAGCAGGGGAUGUUCUCAGCAGAGGGCCAACAGAAGGAAGGUCUGGAGGGGCAGAAGAGGCAUCAUGCAGCGGACAGCUCUGGCCCUGCGUCGUGAGGAGAUUCCAGCAUGACCUGCGGCACACUGCUCAGCUGCUUCACUGAGGAACGGCGAUGUGCUCUCCGAUGUGCAUCUAAAUAGCUUAUUGAAUUUGCAACUGAAUAAUGUUAUUAUAUCACAGUAAGCCAUGGCAUAUGUGUAAAAGUAUUCUGUAGUUUAUAUUUUAAUGCAUAAUUUACCGUCAAUAGCAUUUCGUAUCAAUGUACAAAGAUUUAUGCUCUUUCGAUUUUCCUCCAACAAUGCUGCAGUGACAACUUUGCAUGUUUGUCCACAUGAAUGUACAGUACGUGCACACACAUUCACACACACAUUAACAUGGCCGUAUCAAUCAAAUUGAUCCAAGUAUUUCUGUAAGGUAUAUUUUUGGACUAAGUGUAUGAUCAUUUUAAUUGUGGAAGGGUAUUGAUGAAUUCUCCUUCUGAAAUUUAUAUAUUUCUAUCAGUGAUGUACCAGAGAGUGUUGUUAUUCCUGUUUCAUUUAUUUUUCUACUUUAUACUCAUUUAUUAUAUUUUUAACUUUAUUAAGUUUAUAUUUGUUGUCUUAUAAGCAUACAUUAUUUACUAUAGAAUAAUUUAGGAAAAGUUUCAGCAAACAUUUAAGCUAUGAGAUUAAAUGCUGGGACAAUUAUACUUGUUCUAAGUAGGAUCAUCAA